GAGAGUGAUGAAUGCUAUUGUCGCCCCAGUCCUAUGGGUCCCUCAGCCAGGGAUAUCCAUGCGGAUGGACAGACGUUAUGGCGUCUCUGACUC
rfam:Volvox carteri f. nagariensis unplaced genomic scaffold VOLCAscaffold_1539, whole genome shotgun sequence.